AUCUCUGGUUGAGCCGGGGAAGAAUCCACAGCAAAGAAAUUGUGGUAAAAUUGACAGCCUCUGGGAAAGUGCUCUAAAAAAAACAAAUAAAAGCAAACUGCCAAGCACAUUUUCACGAAUGCGGUAUGUUUUUAAUUGAGGAUCAGAAAAACAGUAUUAGUGAAUCUCCUGAUUCGGACUGCACUCUGAUAUUAAUUGCAUUGAUUCUACAACAACGUAUCCUUGCCUGUGGAUCUAAUAAGAGGCCAAGCGUUCUAUUUCCAAAGCCGGGAGGGAGGAACACGAUAGCCCUUAGGCUGAGAUCCCAUGACACUCUCAGCUGCUGCUGACACUGCAGCUGUUAGAUCACAUGUCAAAACCUGCAGCGACUGACUUUUGUCUGUGUCACGACACAACCUCUUCACUAACAAUCGCUUCAGGCUUCCCGAGGUGAGGAGCUUGCUGUACUCGACCGGCAUAAGAGUGCAGCUCCUGGGAAAGGGAAGAGACGGAGAUGGAGAAUCCGAGCUGUUGGCACAGAGGGAACGGUACUCGAUGCUACAUCUGACCUCUUUCUUUCGCAUUCAUUCUCCGCGAGGGAGCAAGCCUCAGACGAGGAGGAGCCACAGGCGAUGAUCUGAACUGAUUGGCACCGCGCCGCAUCUCCUAUUGACAAUGACUAAACAGGGGGUAGAGCUACACUACGUACCCCUCUCGAUGGACACUCUCGCAUGGAUGUAACCACAGAUGAGGGCAGAUAGUCGGUUACUAUGGCCACCUUGAGAGUCAGCUACACUUUGGAGAUUUGUGCCUUGGAGCUGAUUUGAUUGAUGUGGAUACUGCUUAUUCUACAUUGCUUUGGUGAAGAUCAAGGUAACCAACAACUGUAGCAGCACCUGUUAGAAGCAACAGUGACAAUAGCCUGUAGCUCAGAAAGCAGCAGUUCCAUAGGGAAAGGCGGAUCACAGAGUGGUGUAGCCUGCAAGGGGUGAAACUGGCACGUACGGUCCAUAGACAGACGUCCAAGCACGUCUCAGGAGGCUCAGGAUAUCCCUCUGGACUGAGGUAAACACAUGCAGCCUGCUGGAACAAGAUUGACUCCAAUCUGGACCUUGCGGGGGCUCUUUUCCCAGAGGCUGUCAAUUUUACCACCACUUCUUUGCUGUGGAUUCUUUCUGGGCUCAACCAGAGACUUUUACAGGAUCUCAGAGUUGGCAACCCACAAAUGCACAAGGCAGACAGUCAUAACUUGUUUUUAGAGCUGGCAUUUGUGUCAACAUCGCCUGUGGUGGUACCAAUCAGAAUGAGCAGCAUUUGGGUUCAGGCUCUGGCUGGGUUCCCCUCAGUGAAGGGCAUCAUAAAUUGCAUGUGUGAAGGAAUGACACCACCUUGAGGUCACCCAGGAUUGUUCAUCAACCACAAGAACUUCUACUCCAUUAACGUGGAGCUGAUUGUGAUGAGAGCUGUGUGUGCAAGAUUCCUGGGAAUACUUUCAUCCUGCAGCAUUCACUUCACACCUCAAAACAUAAUUCCCAGCUAACUACUGGACUUGUGAGAUACCCACUUAACAUGUGGCUGAUGACACCCAUGAGGAAGGCAAUCAAUGAAACACCAGUUUGAUGUAGUGAAAGCCAUCUGAACGUCUGAUGUGCGGUUGAGCAAGCCAUUGACGUUCAAAAUGGAUUCCAGGUGCCAGAUAUGGAGAUUGAAACACACAAAAUAGGAGCAGGAGUAGGCUGUUCAGCCCUUUGAGCUUGCUUCAUCAUUCAAUAUGAUUGUGAUUGAUCAUCUAAUUAGGUACCCAGUUCCUGUUGUUCCCCCAUAACCUUUGAUUCCUUUAGUCCUAAGAACAAUAUCUAAUUUUAAAGAUGUCUCCGUGUGCACCAGCCAGAGUUUCCAAAAUGGUUGUGGAAUGCUCUGCUCUAUGAUUUGAUUUGAUUUUUGAACUAGCAUGAGGAACAAGGCACAAAAUAUGCAGCCACUUCAGACAGCUCCAAGGAGGAAUAUGUGCAAUGUGAAUUGACCAAUUCACCAGCAAUGGUACAACCAAAACUGUACCCAGGAUGGCCUUAUUAUUGUUAAGUUAAAUUAAGUUCAACCAGUUCACAUGUCUGACAAUCAUGUAUAAAAGUCACUUUGGUGUCCAGGAAUCAGUGGAUUUGGAGAGUGGGCAGGAAAAUACAGCUGAAGUCAAAGACCAACAUGAAUGUACUGAAUGUGAGAACAAGCACAUUAGGCUGUACAGUUUACUCUGACUCAGAUUUUGUGUUCUUUUCUCUUCCCCCACCUUGGCUACCAACCAUCCAUGACACGCAUACACAGCAGUCCUGCAAACAACCAGAUAUCUCUUUUAUUACUCCACCAUUGCUCUGUGUCAAUUCAUAUCCAUCUAUUCAUCACAAAUGGAAAAUCACUCGUCAAGCAAUGAUCAAAAAUGAGGAAGAUGAGAGAGAUUGAAAUAAUUAUU